CCUACGGGGGGCUGCAGUGAGGAAUAUUGGUCAAUGGCCGGAAGCCUGAACCAGCCAAGCCGCGUGAAGGACGAAGGUGCCAAGCAUUGUAAACUUCUUUUGUCAAGGGACAAAAUCAGGCUCGAGAGCCUGACCGAGGGUACUUGAAGAAAAAGCAUCGGCUAACUCCGUGCCAGCAGCCGCGGUAAUACGGGGGAUGCGAGCGUUAUCCGGUUUUAUUGGGUUUAAAGGGUGCGUAGGGGGGCUGUUAAGUCAGCGGUAAAAGCCGGGGGCUAAACCUCGGCGAGCAGUUGAUACUGGCUGUCUUGAGAUGUCGUGAGGUAUGCGGAAUGCGCAGUGUAGCGGUGAAAUGCUUAGAUAUUGCGCAGAACUCCGAUUGCGAAGGCAGCAUACCGGCGGCGCUCUGACGCUGAGGCACGAAAGCGUGGGUAUCGAACAGGAUUAGAUACCCCUGUAGUC
rnacentral:rRNA from 1 species